GAUGAACGCUGGCGGCGUGCCUAAUACAUGCAAGUCGAGCGAACAGACGAGGAGCUUGCUCCUCUGACGUUAGCGGCGGACGGGUGAGUAACACGUGGAUAACCUACCUAUAAGACUGGGAUAACUUCGGGAAACCGGAGCUAAUACCGGAUAAUAUAUUGAACCGCAUGGGUCAAUAGUGAAAGACGGUUUUGCUGUCACGUAUAGAUGGAUCCGCGCCGCAUUAGCUAGUUGGUAAGGUAACGGCUUACCAAGGCAACGAUGCGUAGCCGACCUGAGAGGGUGAUCGGCGACACUGGAACUGAGACACGGACCAGACUACUACGGGAGGCAGCAGUAGGGAAUCUUCCGCAAUGGGCGAAAGCUUGACGGAGCAACGCCGAGUGAGUGAUGAAGGUCUUCGGAUCGUAAAACUCUGUUAUUAGGGAAGAACAAAUGUGUAAGUAACUAUGCCCGUCUUGACGGUACCUAAUAAGAAAGCCACGGCUAACUACGUG
rnacentral:rRNA from 1 species